AGCGCAGGUGGUUGUAUAAGUCUGAAGUAAAAGGCAGUGGCUCAACCAUUGUGUGCUUUGGAAACUGUACAACUUGAGUGCAGAAGGGGAGAGUGGAAUUCCAUGUGUAGCGGUGAAAUGCGUAGAUAUAUGGAGGAACACCGGUGGCGAAAGCGGCUCUCUGGUCUGUAACUGACACUGAGGCUGAAAGCUGGGGGAGCAAACA
rnacentral:rRNA from 1 species